GACGAACGCUGGCGGCGUGCUUAAUACAUGCAAGUCGAGCGAGGUCCAUCUGGUGGCAACACCAGUGAAGGCCGAGCGGCGAACGGGUGAGUAACACGUGAGCAACCUGCCCCGAAGUCUGGAAUAACAUCGGGAAACCGGUGCUAAUACCGGAUCGCCCCACCUGACCGCAUGAUCGGGUGAGGAAAGAUUUAUCGCUUCGGGAGGGGCUCGCGGCCUAUCAGCUAGNGGUGGGGUAACGGCCUACCAAGGCGUCGACGGGUAGCUGGUCUGAGAGGACGACCAGCCACACUGGGACUGAGACACGGCCCAGACUCCUACGGGAGGCAGCAGUAGGGAAUCUUGCGCAAUGGGCGAAAGCCUGACGCAGCAGCGCCGCGUGGGGGAUGACGGCCU
rnacentral:rRNA from 1 species